rnacentral:rRNA from 1 species
CCUACGGGGGGCUGCAGUCGAGAAUUUUUCUCAAUGGGCGAAAGCCUGAAGGAGCGACGCCGCGUGGGGGAUGAAGGGCUUCGGUCCGUAAACCCCUGUCAUUUGCGAACAAACCUUACUCAUGAACAAUGAGUGAGCUGAUUGUAGCGAAAGAGGAAGGGACGGCUAACUCUGUGCCAGCAGCCGCGGUAAUACAGAGGUCCCGAGCGUUGUUCGGAUUCACUGGGCGUAAAGGGUGCGCAGGUGGUUUGGCAAGUUUGAUGUGAAAGCUUCGG